rnacentral:rRNA from 1 species
CUACAUAUCAAUAAGCGGAGGAAAAGAAACCAACAGGGAUUGCCCUAGUAACGGCGAGUGAAGCGGCAACAGCUCAAAUUUGAAAUCUGGCUCUUUUAGAGUCCGAGUUGUAAUUUGCAGAGGGCGCUUUGGCGUUGGCAGCGGUCCAAGUUCUUUGGAACAGGACGUCACAGAGGGUGAGAAUCCCGUACGUGGUCGCUAGCCUUCGCCGUGUAAAGCCCCUUCGACGAGUCGAGUUGUUUGGGAAUGCAGCUCUAAAUGGGAGGUAAAUUUCUUCUAAAGCUAAAUACUGGCCAGAGACCGAUAGCGCACAAGUAGAGUGAUCGAAAGAUGAAAAGCACUUUGGAAAGAGAGUCAAAUAGCACGUGAAAUUGUUGAAAGGGAAGCGCUUGCAGCCAGACUUGCCUGUAGUUGCUUAUCCGGACUUUUGUCCGGUGCACUCUUCUGCGGGCAGGCCAGCAUCAGUUUAGGCGGUUGGAUAAAGGUCUCUAUCACGUACCUCCCUUCGGGGUUGGCCUUAUAGGGGAGACGACAUGCAACCAGCCUGAACUGAGGUCCGCGCAUCUGCUAGGAUGCUGGCGUAAUGGCUGUAAGCGGCCCGUCUUGAAACACGGACCAAGGAGUCUAACAUCUAUGCGAGUGUUUGGGUGUCAAGCCCAGACGCGUAAUGAAAGUGAACGGAGGUGGGAACCUUUUAGGUGCACCAUCGACCGAUCCUGAUGUCUUCGGAUGGAUUUGAGUAAGAGCAUGGCUGUUGGGACCCGAAAGAUGGUGAACUAUGCUUGAAUAGGGUGAAGCCAGAGGAAACUCUGGUGGAGGCUCGCAGCGGUUCUGACGUGCAAAUCGAUCGUCAAAUUUGGGCAUAGGGGCGAAAGACUAAUCGAACUAUCUAGUAGCUGGUUCCUGCGAGU